rnacentral:rRNA from 4 species
CACUGAUUGAUUAAAGAGCCGCGGUAUUUUGACCGUGCAAAGGUAGCAUAAUCAUUAGCAUAUUAAUUGUGUGCUGGAAUGAAAGGUUUGACGAGAAAUAUACUGUCUCUAUUGUAUUUUUAUAAUUUUAUUUUCUAGUUAAAAAGCUGGGAUUUUUUUUUAGGACGAUAAGACCCUAUAGAGUUUGAUUCUAUAUAUUUUAUUAUUUUGGGUUUAAUUAUUAAUAAUUAAUUUUAUUUUGAAUUUUGUUGGGGUGAUGUGAAUAAUAAUUAAACUAUUCAUUGUUAUUAUCAUUGAUUUAUGUUUUUUAUGAUCCUUUAUUAUUGAUUUAAAGAUAAAAUUACCUUAGGGAUAACAGCGCAAUUAUUUUUGAGAGUUCUUAUUGACAAGGUAGAUUGUGACCUCGAUGUUGGAUUAAGGUUUUUUUAGGUGAAGGUGCUUAAUUUAAUUGGUCUGUUCGACCAUU